AUGGAAGUGAAGAUCCUUUCCCCAGAUGAUCGACUACGAUUAUACUGUGCGCAAAUGUAAUCCCUUUUCGGAGGAUUCAAGCCAGAAAUCUGAUCCAU
rnacentral:snoRNA from 10 species